rnacentral:rRNA from 1 species
AGUGAACGCUGGCGGUAGGCCUAACACAUGCAAGUCGAACGGCAGCACAGUAAGAGCUUGCUCUUACGGGUGGCGAGUGGCGGACGGGUGAGGAAUACAUCGGAAUCUACUUUUUCGUGGGGGAUAACGUAGGGAAACUUACGCUAAUACCGCAUACGACCUACGGGUGAAAGCAGGGGAUCUUCGGACCUUGCGCGAUUGAAUGAGCCGAUGUCGGAUUAGCUAGUUGGCGGGGUAAAGGCCCACCAAGGCGACGAUCCGUAGCUGGUCUGAGAGGGUGAUCAGCCACACUGGAAGUGAGACAGGGUCCACACUCUGGCGGGAGGCAGCAGUGGGGAAUAUUGGACGAAGGGCGCAAGCCUGAUACAGCCAUACCGCGUGAGGGAAGAAGGCCUUCGGGUUGGAAAGCCCUUUUGUUGGGAAAGAAAUAAAGCAGGUUAAUACCCCGCUGUUCUGACGGUACCCAAAGAAUAAGCACCGGCUAACUUCGUG